GACGAACGCUGGCGGCGUGCCUAACACAUGCAAGUCGAACGGAGUACCUUCGGGUGCUUAGUGGCGAACGGGUGAGUAACGCGUGAGAAACCUACCUUUCAGUGGGGGACAACAGUUGGAAACGACUGCUAAUACCGCAUAAUGUUAUCUGGGGGCAUCCCCGGGUAACCAAAGAUUUAUUGCUGAAAGAUGGUCUCGCGUCUGAUUAGCUAGUUGGUGAGGUAACGGCUCACCAAGGCGACGAUCAGUAGCCGGUCUGAGAGGAUGAACGGCCACAUUGGGACUGAGAUACGGCCCAG
rnacentral:rRNA from 1 species